GGCUGUUCUCCCACAGAGCUCUCAUUGAUUUGAGAUAAAUAAAAUAAAGCUCUCAUUGAUUUGAAUUUGAAUUUCUGAAGCGGCUCCCCGUAACAGUAGGAGAUACAUAUUAGGGUAAGUAAUGAUGAGCUUAAAGCUUCGACUUCUCCUGUAGUCUUUGGUGGGCUUUCCAUGGCUCACAUGUAAUGUCAAUGCUGAUAUUCUAAAUGAGGUUUUUUAUUUUUAGUGUCUUGGUUCUCUCAUCUACAAGUACUUAACUUAUCUGACCAUGACCAGGGCAGGAAUGGUGCCUAACUCCUUUGCCUAGUGGGAAGACUAGAAAGGCAGUUCCUAGGAAAUUAAUUUUUAUGAUAAAGAUGAGAUUUUACCUGUAGAAAUUUGUGCUCACCCUUGGAGCUGGGCAUGGAUUAAGAAAAAGCUUGUUUUCUGCCAAAAUGUAGGGCUGGCUCUGGUAGACCACUUGGCUUUCUUUUGAGGGGAUGGGACUUGAGAAGGGGGCCAUUGCUUGAAGUGUCUCUGGAGUCAUUAUUGCUGACCUGGCCUGUAUCUGUGAAGGGACUCACCCAUGCUCCUCAGCUAGGAACUGCUCCUUGUACUGUGGGACAUUUGGGAGCCAUUAGGCCUUGGCUGAGGCUUUAUAAUCUUUAUUAUAAUCUAUCAUGGGGCCCAUAAAUAUUUAGCCAGAGAGACUGCCCCUGAGCACCAGUGACGGAGCAGGUCAAUAGCAGGUCAACCGUUUUAUAAAGCCACAAGGGGCUGCUUAACACGGUAGUACUUGACAAGGCAUCACUUCCAGGCAGAUCUCAAAUGAACACUGUGAUUCUCUGUGCACAGAGCUCAGUGCCAGGAGUCAAUUAGGAUCUGGGGUACUAUCCUUGUCUUUCCUCUACCUACAACCCCUUGAAAGAGACACAAUUUUGUCAUUGAGAGAACAAAAAGACUAUUUAUGCAGAGUCCAAGAGAUUGCACUUAUAUUUCAUAUUCCUUUGAUAGACUGGCUUCUAGGAACAAUGCCUUCUCAUUAUUAAUAAUUUCCUGGACAUUAUUCCAAAAUGAUCUGUCCUGAGACCAGGCUGAUAGGAAAAAUUAGGAUGCUACAUCUCGAGUUUUCACCAGAUGAUUUAGAAUUGAAGGUCUCAGUCAAACAUUUUUACCAACCUUCAUCUCAGACAUUGAAUGACUGAAAAUCUGAUAAAGGAGGGAGCCUCAUUUUCUGGUCAGUGACUUUGACUUCAAAUUUUGAAUUACAUAGACAGACAUUGUGUACUCAGGAGGAUCAGGAAAGGAACAAAAAUUGGAAAUCUUCCUAGGAAGUCUCUAGAAUCAUGGAAUUCUAUCCAGCCAGAUUGUGUCACCUUCUUAAACUUGAACUAGUGAGAGUUGGGGUAUCCUUCCUUUGGGGACAGUGUUUUGAGCAAUUCUAUAGACACCCUUAUCCUCAAUCCCCUUUCCAAGAAACUUUCAUUUCUUGUAUUAUUUUAGAUGAUUUCUCUUAGUCAGCAAUCUUAGGAAACUAGAUGCCACCCCCACUUCCCUCAAAAUAGGAGGGAGAAUCUUAUUUGGAGACUGAGGACAUACUUACAUUAGUCACCUCCCAGUAAGGAGAGGGCAGAAGAGCCAGAGAUGUAAGUAAUUGCAACCCUGUCCCUCCAAGACAAUGACACUAUUGUCCACAAUCUCUAGGGCCUUCAGAACCAUCCUAACUAGACUCUCAACAUUCUUUGUUCCCUUUCAGGAAACUAGAUGCCAUAAACUUAGUGUGCCCUGCAAUUCUAUUCAACACUUCAACACCUUCCUUUCCUUCAGAACGCCCCUCUGUGACAGCCACCAGAAGCCUCCCCAAGAAAAGCAGAUGCUGAGCAAGUGAGAAAGGGAAGGAGGGGAUGAGAACUCCUGAUCUAAGGGGGAUGGAAACCAAAGGGGAAGCAGAAAUAACCACCACGAAAACAAACAACAAAAAGCAGCAAAUGUCUAGGGACUAGAUUAAAAUUCUAUUGUAAUUGACCAUGUGAGCCUAGAGUUUUAAAGUUGGGCUUCAAUCAUGUUUGACUGUGACCCAUAGUAAAAAAUAAGUUUUGUGUUACCAGUGGGUACACACACACAGUUUUACAAACAACAUUCACCCUUAACUGCAAAGGAUGUAUACUGACUUUUUUCCCUCUAUUUUAUUUUACACCAUUUUAUCUCACCUUAUCUUACCUUUAUCAAUUCAAGCCUUUUCUGUUCUAUUUCAUUAAAAAGGGGGAAUGGCGGCUACCUAUUAAUUAAUUCCAUGAUUCACUAAUAGAACAUAACUGGCAGUUUAAAAAUAGUAGUUUGUUAAAAUUCAUGGAUAAGACUUCUGGAUUCAUAGACAUUCAGAACUGUGGAUCAUCCAUUUCUAAUGUAACCUCAUUUUACAAGUGAAGACACUGAGACUUUUUAGAGAGGAUGUAAUUCAUCCUGGAUCAUACAGUUGGUUGAUGGCAAGACCCAUGUUCUUUCCUGAAUUCACAUGGUGAUGCCAGAGGAGGUGUGGUGUGGGGCAUAGAGUCUGGGUAGUUUGAGGAUGUGGUCUGUUUAGAGUUCUGUAACCUUAUGCACAUCACUAAAACCAUUUGGCCUCAGUUUCCUAUAAAGUGGACUGUUGUGAGGAUUGAUUAGGUUAAGAUACAAGAGAGCUGGAGGUGAAGUUCACAGGCAAAGAAUACCUGUUUCUUUUCCUUAUCUCUCUGAUAGCCUGUCAUGCAUGUGCUAUCUGUAUUUCUCCUCAUUAGUGCUACAAUAGAGACCCCUGUCUAUUCUGGAGCCUCCCACAGGCAGAACAGGAAGGGAAAAAGUUAAUGUGGUAUUUGGCCUCUUCUCUUCACCAUCCAGAGACCCCUGUCCUGCAAUUCCCCUACUCAACCCUCUCCUUUUUUCCGAUUUGCUUUUUCUUCUUGGUUUAUCUUGCCAUUUUUUAAAAAGAUAUUUUUUAUCAAUAUGUCUUGAAUUUGGGGACCUCUUAAAUUAUCCAAGGCCAAUAUAUGGAUAGAAAUAAGCAGUCUACAUAGAGAUGAUAAACAUACUCAAAAAUACCUGUAUGGAUCUAUAACAACCUGUAGAUCCCAGAGUGGGGUCUGGAUGUGGGAAAUGGGAAGGGAGCACAUUAAAUAUCUGGAAAUUCAUCAAAGAUGUUCCACUUGGGUCUUAAGAGGAUGACAUUCCACAAAGUCAGACAUGUGGAUUUUGUCCUCAGUUGGUGGCAGGGAAGCACCAUGUUAUCCCUUGGGGCAACUAGAUGCAUGAGAUUUUCUGUGGUCUAAACGUAAGCAAAAAUGAAUAGUCACAUGCCAGGAGAACCCAUUCUUUCGUGGGAGGGCUUCAGAUGGCAUAUGAAGGACAGUCUCAUACAUAGGUGGUUUUGUCAAGAGGGAGGUUCAGUUGGCAUCAACCACAUGCAAUGCUUUCAGAAAGAUAAUUGAACUUAAUGUUAUUUUUUUAAGUCACCCUGGGAUUAUUUCUUUCUCUGUAUUGGAAGGGGUUCAAAGAACUGGAGUUCAUUUCUCCAAAGACCUUCACAUGUUUUAGAACCACAGGAAAAAUUUGCGUGAAAAACAUUUAAAUAACUCCAUCUGCUUUUUCCUCCUGUUUCUUAUUUGAAAGAUAAGGCAAGGGUAAGGCUCAUUUUGUUUUUUCUCUUAUCAACAUAAAUUCUGCUCAAAUAUCUGGUUCAGUUUCCUUAGUAAUUUAUGCAUUCUCAGCUCAGUGAUUUUCUGCAGAACCAGUCUUUUAUGAGAAACUAGAAUUUUCCCGGGGAGAAAAUUGCCUUCUCUGUCACUGUACUCUAUAUUUAGUGCAUAACCACCUGUGUGACAUGACCUGAGUUUCCACAUCUAAAAUGAAGAAGCUGCACCUAGAGAGGACAUCUUUUGUGAUGGUUAAGAGCAUAGAUUUGGGAGCCAGGCUGCCUGGCUUGAUCUCGACUUUUCUACUUAUUGGUGAUGUGACCUUGAGGAAAAUUACUUAACCCAUCUGUGUUUCAGUUUUUUCACCUUUAGAUUGAUGGUGAUAAUAAUAGUAUCUGUAUCAUAAAAAUUAUAUGAAUUAAUGCAGUGCCUAGUUUUAGUAAUUGCUAUAUGAGAUUUAGUGUUUUUCUCACUGAAAUGAACCGUAAGGUCUCCUAUGGUUUUAAAAGUGGAUGAUGAGAUUACAAUAAUACUAUUUUACAUUAGAAUAGCUAUUUGUUGUUUAUAAGACUUAGCUCCAUAUAUUAUCCUCCAGAUGAGGAAAUUGAGGGAAAGGUUAAAUGAGUUGAAUAAAGACACUAUUCUGACACUUGCCUCACCGGAUGAUGCUGCUCAGCUAACUUUUCCCUCUUAGAUGGUCCUCCUCUGGAAACUUUUCAUUAUAUUUAAGUAGUGCUGUUUUCCUUCAAAGUGUUGGAUGCUACCAUAAAGCCUCUGUGACUUUUCCUGUCCCUUUCUGCUUUAACUGAGAAAUUCUAUUUGUUCUGAUGGGCAAACACAGAAUCUUAGUGGGACGGUCACAAUACCAAUUCAUGUCUUACGUAAAGGAGAGUAUCAGUGUUCUCAGUUGGUAGGGGACCAUUCAAGGACCCAGGCUCUUUUCUCUUUCAGGGCUCUAGAGUUCUUUCCUUCUAGGUGGUGGACGGAACAAAAGACCAUGAAGAUUUUCACCUAAAUUUUAACCACAUUGAUUCAGAAGCAACACACAUCACUUCCUUUCACUUUUCUUUUAUUAUUUUUUAUUUUUUAUUUUUUAGUUUUCGGUGGACACAACAUCUUUUUAUUUCAUUUUUAUGUGGUGCUGAGGAUUGAACCCAGUGCCCCACGCAUGCCAGGAGAGCGCGCUACUGCUUGAGCCACAUCCCCAGUCCUUCCUUUCACUUUUCAAUAGCAAAAGUAUACUAUGUGGCUCCAUGUAGGGCCAGGUGGGGCUGGGAAAUGUGACCUCCAUGGGGCAGUCAUGUCUUGAUAAUUUAGAGGAGCAUGAACUUUUGAUCAUCAGUUGCCAUUUCUGCCACACUAAUUCACCCCCACAGCAAUCACGUAUUAUAUCUCUCUACAUUUUCUCUUCCAUGGCCCUCUACUUCCAUUCCCAUAGCUACCACCCUGGUUUCAUCCCUCCUAAUCUCAUACUAGCAUAUCAUAGCUACUUCCUGCUUCUAUUCUCUGUAUUUUUCCAUCUCUCCCUCAUGCCACAGCCAGAUUAAUCAUCCUGAAUAACUCUUUCAAAAUUUCAUUUUUCUAUGUUUCCAUUUAGCAGCAGCUCAACAAUGUUUGUGUUUCUGUGUCAGUCACAGUGCUAGGCACUGAAGGAGUUCAUAAAGAAAUAAUGCUUGGUUCCUGCAUUUCAGCUGCUUUUAAGCAGGGAAAACUAACAUGCAUACAUUAAGCUGUGAACCAGGAUAGGGAGUAAGCCCUAGGAUUGAAGUACCAGUACCUUCCUAUUUGCAUAUAGAGGAGGGGAAUAUUAAUUACUCAGAAAUGGUGAACAAUCCUGGGUUAUCACAAGACUUGGGAGGAGGUAAUGAGUAUGUACUAAGUGUCUGAAACUGAGCUCAAAUUUCUGGGCUUGGUUGAAUUUCAUUUCAGGGAAUUAAGAGAGAACAGUUGAAAUUGCUAGGGAGGCUGGGUUACACAUAUAUAUAAAUAUACAUACAAACACAUACACACACACAUAUAUAGAAUACCAUUAUAUAUAUAUGACAAUUAUAUAUAUAAUUAUUAUAUAUUUUUAGAAAAUAAAGGAGAUAGGAGAUUCUAUAUUCCAUAGUCUAAUGAACUUGGUAUCUCUAACUAGAAAAAUUAUAAAAUUUAUUAAUAAUAAACGGGGCUGUCUUGGGCUUACUAUGAACAAAUCAUUUCACUUUGGUCUUGUUUUCUCUCUUUUAAGGUUAAUUUGAUUUAAGAUCAAUAUAAGAUAGAGAUUGGGUUUUUCUGAAUUCCAGCUAGGAUUUUGAUCAGUUUGAAUACAAUUCUUAAAAAAGAAAUUAGAACAGUAUGGAUGAUUGUGUGGUUUGGUGGAUUAAUAGAAAAAUCAAUACGAACGUGGAGGAAGGUAUGGAGAGAUUUGUUUCAGGAACCUAUCCCCUGCCUCCUGUCCUUUAAAAAAUAUUAAUUUUUUUUGUGAAAGACUUGAUUCUCAGGUUUAUGGUUACUGUGAGCAAGGAUAGUAUCUUUGAGAUAGAGUGAUUUCUGCUUAGAGUUCUCUGGAUGACUUUCUAAACUUGAGGUUAGAAUUAAAAAGAUAAAUGAGGUAUUGAACUAUGUAUGGUCAUUUACCUCUGCAUAUGUUUAUCCCCUUUUGAAAAAAUUGAAGCCAAAGAAUUUCUAAUUAUAGUUUGGCUAAACAGUGAUUAUGCAUUAAACAUUAACUUUGUACCACUCAGAAUGACUAUGCCAGAAGGGUUUUCUUGCUUAUUAGUUAAAAAAAUGGUAAAAUAGAAAUUAAACCCUGAAUCCUUCCCUGGAAUUUUCAGGGGGAAAUAAGUCAAUGAAUUGUACCUUCCUCCUUACCCCUAUGUCCUGUACCCUACACCCUGCUUCUGAAAUAACAGCCUUAGAGAACAGAAUCAAUUGGAAGUAGACUGUGCCAUAAUGAGCAGAAGUUUGGAAAUUCAACAUAAAUAUUGGAACCCUGGGUGAUAGCUGGAAGUGCUAUGGUUGGAAAUAUUAGGAGAUGCCUGAAGGCCUAUCUCUACUCCCCUGGAUACCACAAAAUAAAAAGCAUGAACGUAUGGUAAGUCGUGCUGUGGUUUAGAUGGAAUGAUUAAAAUCAUGUGACUAUAAUCCAAUUCCAUUCCAAGAGGAAGAACCCUAAAUUAUGAACAUCUUCUAUUCUUGGGCCAGGGAUGGGGGUGGUUGCAUGCACCUAAUAAGUGGGAUUCUCUUCAUUUAUAAGUGUUCAGUGCUAAAGAAUGCUUAUUUCAGUUGAGUCAUACAGUGUGCUUAGUCAGCAAAGGGCCAAUUUUGGAAGUUACAUGGCCUCAUGUCAGUGAUGUUAUAGAAGGAGUUCUUAAGCUGAACAGAGGACAAGAAGGCUUUAGGAGAAAGGGCCUUUGAAUAUCCCUUUGGGUACCCAAAAGAUCCAAAUUUUUGACUUAUCAUGUAUGUCCUCUGCUUAAGAACUUGAACUUUCAUGUCUGAAAUAUCUGUUUUAAUGCCAACUCUGCCAUUUCAUUUGGACACAUUGAACAAGUUACUUUACCUUUCUAUGCCUUGGUUGCUUGACUGUAAAGUGGGGAUAUAAUAUUAAUAUGUCAACUGUUGACCUCUCAAAAGAUUCAGCUAAAAGCUCUGUUGAUCAAACAUGGCUAAGAGACUUGCUGUUAUAAAGGAUGGAUCACCACUUACCAAAGUCUUUAGAGUGACUCAAAGGAGGGAAGUCACGAGAAGGUAUUUAUACAAUUGUUCUUAAACUCUUCCAAAAAUAGAACAGUGUAUACUUCCAAACUCUUUUUUUUUUUUAAUGAGGCCAGCAUCUCUCUGAAACCCAAGCCAGAAAAACACCACAAGAAAAGAAAACUCUAGGCCUGAUUCCCUGAUGAACAUGUAUGCAAAAAUCCUUAGCAAAAUAUUAGCAAACCAAAUUCAAUGGCACAUUAAUAGGAUAAUAUACCAUGACCGAGUGUGAUUUAUCCCCUGGGAUAUAAAGUUGAUUCAACAUAUAAAAAUCAGUUGAUUUAAUAUACAACACUGACAAAAUAAAAGAUAAAAUCACAUAAUUAUUUCAAUAGAUGCAGAAAAAAGCAUUUGACAAAAGUCCGAUACCCUGACAUAAUAAUUCAAGUACAGAAGGACCUUGCCUUAACACAAUAAAAGCCAUAUAUGAAAAAUCCAGACCUAACCUCAUAUCCAGUGGAGAAAACGUAGAGUCUUUUCUCUAAGAUCUGGAGCAAGAUAAGGCAAGGAUGCCCAGCCUCACCUCUUGGGUUCAUCACAGUACCAGAAGAAUUAGCCAGAGUGAUGAGGCAAGAAAAAUAAAUAAAAGGCAUCCAAAUCAAAGAGGAAGAAGUAAAAUUAUCUGUUUCCAGAGGACAUGAUCUUAUAUGUAGGAUCUCCCUUAAACUACACAAAACUGGGCUGGGGGUGUAGCUCAGUGGUAAGGCACUUGCCUAGCACAUGUGAGGCACUGGAUUCUAUCCUCAGCACCACAUAAAAAUAAGUAAGUAAAAUAAAGCUGUUGUGUCCAUCUACAGCAAACAAUAUUUUUAAAAAACUACACAAACCUGUUAGAACUAAUAAAUAAAUUGGGCAAAGUUGCAGGAUACAAAAAUCAGUCGCAUUUCUCUGUGCUAACAAUAAAUUAUUCAAAAAGGAAACUUUAUUGUUUAAAUUUAUUAUUUUAUUAUGUAACUCUUAUUUACAAUAGCACCCCAAAGAAUAAAAUACUAAGGGAUAGCUUUAGCCAAAGAGUAAAAGACACACAUGCUGAAAACUACAAAGUACUGAUGAAAGAAAUUAAAGCAGAUACAGAUAUUCUUUGUUUAUAAGUUGGAAGAAUUAAUACAUUUAGAUUGCCUGUAUUACCCAAAGUGACUUAACAGAUUCAAUGAAACCCCUAUCAAAAUCCUAUUGGUAUUUUUUACAGAAAAAGGAAAAAGAAUCCUAAAAGCCAUAUGAAACUACAAAAGACCCCAAAUGGCCAAAGCAAUUUUGAGCAAAAGGAAUGAAGCUGGAGGCAUUUUUUACAUUUCCUGAUAUAAAAAUAGAUUACAAAAUUAUGUAAUUAAAACAAUAUGAAACAGGCAUAAAAACAAUAUAUAAACCACUGGAACAGAAUUCAGAACCCAGAAACAAACUCAUGCAUAUACUAUCAACUGACCUUCAACAAAGAUGCCAGGAAUGUACAAUGGGGAAAAGUAGAGUCUCUCCAAUAAAUGUUACUGAGAAAACUGGAUAUCCAAGUGCAAAAUAAUGAUUUUAGAUCUUUAUCUUACACUAUACAUAAAAAAUCAACUUAAAAUGAACCUAAGAACUAAAACCAUAAAACUGCUAGAAGAAAAUAGCAGGAAAAGUCUUCUUGAUUUGCCUCAGCAAUAAUUUCUUAGAUAUGACACCAAAGGAACAGGUAACAAAAGUAAAAAUAGAAAAGUGGGACUAUUUUAUGGCUAAGUAAUAUUCCAUUGUGUAUAUGUACAACAGUUUCUUUAUCCAUUCAUCUGUUGUUGGGCAUCUAGGUUGGUUCCAUUGCUUAACUACUGUGAAUUGUUUUGCUAUAAACAUUGAUGUGGCUGCAUAAAUGGAUGGACCUAGAGACUAACAUGCUAAGUGAAUUAGGCCCAUUCCUCCAAACCAAAGAUUGAAUGUUUUUGCUGCUAUGUGGAAACUAAACCACAAUAAAGGGGCAGAGAGAAAGACAACAAGUUCAAUAGAUUAGACAAAGGGGAACAAAAGGAAGUGAGGAGAGAUAGGAAUAGGAAAGACAGAAGAAUAAAUCUAACAUAAUUUUCCUAUGUACACAUACGAAAAUGCCUAAUUGAAUCCCACCAUGGGGCCCAGCCACAAGAAUUAUUCCUAAUUAGAAUAAGAUACAUUCCAUGCUUGUAUAAUUUCAUCAGAAUGGAUUCUACUUUUAUAUAUAAGAAGAACCAAUUAAAAAAAACUAAAGUGGAAUUACAUCAAAUUUAAAUCUUCUGCACAGCGAAGGAAACAACCAGCAGAGUAAAAGGCAGCCUUCAGAAUUGAAGAAAAUAUUUAUAAACCAUGUAUCUAAUAAGGGGUUAAUAUCUAAACUAUAGAAAGAAUUCAUACAACUCAAUGGCAAAAAAGCAAAUAAUUGGAUUAAAAAAGGAUAAAGGAUGUAAACAGACAUUUCUCCAAAGAAGACAUAUACAUGUCCAAUAGGUAUAUAAAAAAGGUGCUGAACAUCACCAAUCACUGGGGGAAUGCAAAUCAUACGAUGGCCAUUAUGUAAAAAAACAGCAAUUAAAAAGUGUUAGUGAGGAUGUGGAAAAAAUUGAAAUCCUCUUACACUUUUGAUAAGGAAUAUAGAAUAGUAGAGCUGCUAUGGCAAGCCAUAUGGAAGUGACUAAAAAAAAAAUAAAAAUAGAACUAACAGUAUGAUCCAGCAUGUGAUCCAUAGUUAUGUGCAUUGGAUGUUAGUUCUCCUCUUAAACUCUUAAGAUAAUGCUUUUCUACUCUUGCAGCCCCCACCCCUGCCUGUGAAUGUUCAGCCCAAGUCUUGUACCUGGAGUACAGAAAUCAUUGUUUCUCUUCAGUAAUGGUCAUUGCUUGUUAGUUUACAACACUUAACAUUUCCCCUCCUGGGAUCUGACAGGUUCCAUAUUAUUUUUGAACUUAACCUUGGAAAUGGAAACCUAUUUUUUUAAAGUUAGAAACUUAUGGUAAUUUACUAUUUAUUAAAGCUCUCAUACAUAAGUAAUUAAACAUUUUAAUAAAAAACAUGCACAUUAUUUCAUAAUAACAGCUAUAGUUUUAUAAAUGUGGUGCUUUAUUUUGCAUAAUUAGCUCAUUAGCCCUUACAUUAACCUUAUGAGGUGAGGUGGUUUGGUUUUUUUUUUUUUUAAAUUUUUACUCUCUCUGGGAGGAAACUGAAGUUGAGGAGGAGCUGCUGGGUAAGUAACUUGCUCCACCCUUCUUAGCUGAAAGUGGUAGGGACAAAAUCUGAACUUAGGUUUGCUUUACUUCAAAGUCAUAUUUUCAACCAAAGGAGUAAUUGAAUAUAGAUAUAUUAAAUAAGAUUUUCAUCUAAAAGUAAGAUUUUUACUACAUGAAGCUGAUUGGGAAGGAUCAGGAGAGAGAUUAUGAAAGAGGUAAUAUACAAAUAUUACAUAAAAACAUACAAGAUUUUCUAAGAAACUUACAAGGUUUAAAGUACAUAUAAAUAUUAUAAAUAUAAAUAAAAUAUAUAUUUUUAUGAAAUUUUCUCAAAGAUAAUUAACUUGAACAUUUUUAUACUCUUACAUGUUAUUGUCAAAAGAUAUAUAUCUUGUAAAUAUAUAUAUAUACAUAUAUAUUUAUCUUGUAACUCUAUAUAUGACAAUAUACAUAUUUACAUUUGCAGGGGUAAUUGAAUAAUUAAGAAAUAUCUAACUCAAACUUUAUUAUUUCAUUUACUUACAUAAACUAGUUAAGUAUAAAGUUGACACAGGGAUCUCAGACAAGGCCUUCAAUGGACCUACAUUUAUGUAUUUAAAAAUUUUUUUUCCAUUUCUAUUUUUCCUACCAAGACAUCAAGCACAGUCAAUGUCAUAUAGUAACAUAUGAAAGUGGCCCAGGGUGACACAACUAACACUUGACUUUGCAUUUCAUCUUUAAACAGGAUAUAUCAUCUGUCUUUUCAGAUGACUCUCCUCUCCUCUCCCUGGAAUCAUUAAAAUAGAGGAUCCUUCCUCAUUACUGUGGUUGCACCUUCCUCACAAAUUAGCCAGAACCAUUUCCAAACAGGCAUUAUUUCUGAGUGAUGGUAUUUCUGAUGUUUCCUGAACGUUUUCUUUUCUUUCCUUUUUGUCAGAGGGGAAGGACACACCAAUUUCUGGUGGGCACUGCUGCCACCUCCCAGGAUGUGUCGCUCACAGCCCUGUCCUGCUUUCUGCUCUUCAGUUAAUCAGAUGAAUCACAUUUCUUCAGUGGAGUACAUUUCUUUCUGGCAGUGAGUUUGCACAAUCACCUCCGCACACGCACAGGCACACGAACUGUCCGCGCUACUGUGGAACAAUCAUUUGUAAUCCAUACCUACUUUCCUCACUAUGUUAAUUUCAUAGAUUUUUAGAACAGGCUAAGAGCUGAGAGACCAUCUGUUUCCCUUUUCAUUUUAUCGAGUGGGAAACUGAGGCCCAGUUAGGCCCAGUGAUUCUCAAAAUGUGGCCCUUGGGCCAGUGGCAUCAGCUUCCCUUGGGAAAUUGUUAGAAAUGCACUUUCUCAGGUCCUACUCUACACCUAGGGAAUCUGAACUGCUGGGCCAGCCCUCUAGAAAGUUCCAAGUCUUGCUAUAGUUGAGAAACGCUGGGUUGAGCCUUUGUCCAGGUCCUGUAGCUGUUGGCAAAACGAUCCCAGUUUUCUUGACACUUGUUUAGAGUCCUUUGAGCUCCAUCACUUUGUGUCUGUCCCUGCCUGAGCUUACACAUGGUAUUUUUUUUUCUUUUUGGCAUUCUUCUGGAAGCUGGUAUUUAUUCAUUUAGUUUUAAUGAGGUCCAGUCUAGCUGCCUUUUUCUUCCUCGCAGCUUGCUGAGAGAUUUAAGUUCAGGGGCUAUUACCUAAUUAUAUUAAUUUCAUGUCUGGGGAUUUUUAACAACAAUUUCCUCAAAUUGAAGUCUUAAUUUGACCACAAAUCCUUGCCCUGAGCAGCGAGGUACAGUUAGUUCUCCAUGUUCCUAGAUUUUUCUUUGCUUUUCAAGCAAAGUUCAGCAGCCAAGCAGAUGCAUUUGCUUCUACUCUUCUGGGUAGACAAGAAAGGCUCAUGUCCUUUCAUAAGCAAUUUUCUUUUUCUAGUGACAGUUUCAUCCUAUUCUGACAAAACCACACAUCAGGAUUAUCCCUUUCAACUUCAUUCUCAAAGCUCUGGCUUCAGUGCCACUUAUCAACGCCCCUUGUUGAAAGAACGUGGCCCUCAGAAACUUCUGAGGUUCUUCCUUUGCCUCAGCAGACCCCAGGCAAGACAGACAACCUUGUCUGAUCAUCCUCCACUGUUCUUCCAUUGCAGACUCCACGUGGUUGAGCUUCCAAGAGCCAUCUACCUUUUAAUCUCUCUUCUCUUGGUUUUUUCCCUUGGCUUCCAUUCUCCAGCUAGAAGCCUGUUGUGGUCACAGGUCCUGGCAGGAAGCUGUGGUUUUAAUGACUUUUUUUCUUCAAUGGAAGAAGUUUGAAUGAGGGCUGAAACUUUUGAGCUCAACUGCCCCUCUGCUUGUUGUAAGGCUCGGCCUGAGCCCAGAAAACUCCGAGGGCUUUAGGACUUGAUGUUUCUUUCCCCCCUUCAGGGGAGUUUCUGCAGGAGCUCUGAGCCAGGCCAUGCCAAUCCAGAGAACUCUCAGGAGGCCGGGGCUCUGGGGCUGAACUGGAAUGUAGUAUACUCCUGGUGGGCCCUCAACCAACACUGAAACCCAUCCUGAUGAGGCCCAGAGGAUGUAAAGUUGACUUAGCCAUCCAAGGGUCACUUGGGGUGAGGCCACUUGUGAGAACUGACCAAAACCUGGUAAACUGCAGGAAGAGAGAGGUGAAGAUUUCAGGGAAUUUCUCCUAGAUACUUUCAUUCGUGACAUCUGUCUACUUGAGGUUUGAUUUUUCAGUACUGAAAACUAUAAAUACUAAUAGUUUUUGGUGAGUCUGGGCUUGGGUUUAAGAGUCUAUCUUUGCAUGGUGAUUAUAUUUACAUAUGAAGUUGUGGCUUCUCUUGAUACAUAACAAAUAACAAAGAUAAUAAUAAUACUAAUUACUAUCAUGAAAUAUAUGCUCCAGUUUUCUCUGGUGGGCAUGUUACAGACAUUGCCACUAAUCCUUCUACCCUCUUUUCCAGGUGAGGAGACAGGCACAGAUAUUCUCAAUUACUCAAAAUAAGACACUAAGUGAGGAAAUUUAGUGUCAGUUUUCUUCUUUUGUGAGGACUUGAUAUAAGGGGUUAAACAUAUUGGCUCUGGGACUGGGGAUAUAGCUCAGUUGGAGUGCUUGCCUCGCAUGCACAAGGCUGUUUAAUUCCCAGCAACACACACAUACACACACACACACACACACAAUCACUUGUAUAUAAAUAUCACUUCACACUAUAAUAUCUAGUUAUACCCAAUUCCCCUUAUACCUCAGUUUCCCAAUUUGUAAAUUAGGCAUAAUGGCAUCUACUUUGUAAGGUUGAUAAAAAGGCUUAAGGAAUUAGUAUACAUUAAGUACUUAAUAGCUGGUGAAAAAUAAUUUGUUAUAUGAACAUUGGGCUAUUAAGAAAAUGCAAUUCUGAAAGAAAAAGGCACUGUUUCACAUUAUUUGCCAAAUAAACUAAUCCUUUACAGCAGCAUUUCCAAACGUUUAAUACUCAUUUUUGCCUCUUUUCCGGGGUUGGUUAUGAAAUAAUUCAGUAGUUGGUAAGAAAAACUAGGAAGGGAUAUGUAAUUUUUACUUAGAACAAAUAAGUCAUUCAUUACUACCCUUGCCUCCUCUCUCCCUCCUUUCAGAGUGCUCUCUGGGUCCCCUGUACCUUUGUGACUCAUGUGGCUGCAAAUCACUCAGCAGCCAGGGCUGAAUCCCAUUUGCAGUACAAAGAGCCUGGCAGGGAGGAACGGGCUUAAUUAGUCAGAGAUGUUCAAGGUAAAGCCUUUACAAAAGAGCUAACUGUGCUGUGUAAAGGGAAGAAACGCGAUGAAAGCCACCAUUACCGGAGCAGGGAUGAUGCAUAUAUUUCCUUAGCUUUUUCUUGCCACAUCAUAUCUGCUCAGAUGUCACAGCUCCAAUUUCAGGGGUAGUUCAAAGCGGAGGUUUCUGACUAGGAAACCACAGAAAUAGUCAAGAGCCUUGAAGCUGAUGCCAUCAGAUGUAUAACCACUCUGGCCAAUUAACAUGCCGGCUUGGGGAAGAUGAAGGUGAAGAAAACAAGGACUUAUCUCCCACAGCUGUAUGUGAGAAACAGACAUGGAAAUAGCUAAUCGCAAAUGCAAUGACAGAUUUCUAAACCUAAGCCUGGAAAUAAAAGCACCGUGGGACACAAUGUUACCUGAGGGAGAAAUUUGGAUGGUUAGAUAGAAACAGCUAAACAGAGGCAGGGAUGGCUCAAAAGAACAUGGACUUGGCCAGGUAGCUAGGUAAAAGGGAAAGAGGACACAAACAAAACAAUAUAAAGACUCAAUCCUAGCAUUGACAUUGACAUUUACCAGUUUUGUGAUGUUGGGUUUGUCUUUACAGCUAUGGGCUCUAGGUCUUUAAGGUCUUGCAAAUUAUUCUUAAUAACCUCCACAUUUCAUUGAAUCCCAUCUAAGGGCUUAUAGAAGAAAUAGAAAUCUUCUUCAAUAAAUUGUUGGAAAUGGGGCCCAUAUUUAUUUGACUCAAAUGGAAUCUUUGCUUCUCCUUAAUUCAUAUAUCCUACCCUGCAGUGAGUGCGCAUCUUAAAAUUUCUAGAUAACAGAGAAAAAAAUUUUCAAACCAUAAUUAGGUGGUUGUUAACUACUUCCUGGCUUUAUCCAUGGUCAUUAGUAAGUCAUGUUGUUUCUGAAAUUGAUUUUCUGGGAGUUUAGAGGAAGUUUUUUUGAUCACACUAGGUGUGUAGACUAUUUGGAGCAUUCUAGGGUUAGAAUAAUCUUGUGAGGAUGCUUGAGGGUAUGUGAUAUUGAGAUGAUGUGUAAACUGAGCAAACCUGAUCAUUCAUUCAACAAAUAUUUAAGGAACCCUGAUGAGGUUCCAGGCACUACACGAGGUGCUGGGAAGAUGGCAGAGACCAUGACAGUCCCUGUUACAACAGAGUUAAAAAAUUUCUGUGUGACAAGUAGUGGCAUAUGCAUUUAAAAUAGGACACAGUUUCAUGUUAGAAGUGUCAGAAGCCCGCAAGAGACUUUGACACUCAUUUACCUGUCUACUUUUCCAUAUUCCUCAGCCGCCUUGCAUCUAGUAGGGUUGUGUGAUUUGUUUUUACCAAGGGUGUGUGAGUGGAAGUGAGGGUGUUACUUUCAUUCACGGUGUGUCUUCUCCACACUCACUCAAGCCUACCUGGAUAAGUUUGGAGACCACAUAUUCCAGAGAACAUCGCUCUAAGAUCAAGGAGGACUGUCUGGUCUGUCUCAGACUGUGAUGUGAAAUAUAAGCUUUCUAUGUCAACCUCAUAAAAGACAAAGACUAUGGCAAUGUUCCAGAUUUACAAAGACUUGAAGAGACAUGACAACUAAAUGCGAUGUCUGCCCCUAGACUGGAUCCUGUACUGGGAAGGGAGAAAAGCUACAAAGAACAUAAUUAGAUCUGCUGAAAAAAAUCGGGGUAUGGAUGUCAGAUUAGAUAAAACAAGUAUUGCAUCAGUGUUAACCUGGGAGGAUGACAAUUGUACUAUGCAUAUGUAAAAGACCUUUCUAGUCUUAGGAGAUAUACACUUGAAGUGUUUAGGGGCAAGGGCUAUCAUUUAUGUCAUUUGCCCUCAGAUACUAAAAUAAAUGGGAUAAAACGUUGACAAAUCUGAGUAAAGCCUAUGUAGACAUUCCUUGUACUAUUUUUAGUAUUACAACCUUUUCUAAGGGUGAAUUUAUAUUUAGACUAAAAAUAAUAUAAAACAUUACACUGUUAAGUCACUAAGGUUUGGGGGUUUAUUGUUGCCACAGCAUAACCCAUACUAUCUUGACUAGUGGAGAGGGAAUUAGGAAGAUAUUACAGGGUAAAUAGGCUGCAUUUAGUGGGCCAGAGAAAGACUUUCCAGAAGAAAAUGAUUUGAAAAAUAAAUAGAAGCUAGCCAAGUGAAGAGGGAGGAAAAUUCCAAGUAGAGAACUAAAUUUUUGGAGGCCUAGUGGAGAGAGUACAGUACUUCAAUAACACAAAAAGAAUUCAACAUGGUGGGAGGGAAGACAUGAGAGGUGAACUUGGAGAUGUAGACAAGGCCAGGUCCUGAGGGAUCACAUAAGCCACGUUAAGACAUUUGGACUUUAUACUAAGGGCCAGGAAGGGUUUUAAGCAUGACUAAUGUGAUAAGAUUUACAUUUAAAAAAAUUAUCCUGGGUGCAGAAUGGAUUGGAACAGAAGAUGAUUAUAUAUAAGAAAAGAUGAAUGGGGUGGUGGCCAUUGAGGUGGAGAAGUGUCGGCAAUCUGAGAGUUAAUUAGGAGAGGGGGUUCUUUGACCUGGGUGAUUGAUGAGUGUGAAAUGGGAGGAGUGAAUGACAACUCCCAGUUCCUGCUGAGGGAAUUGGGCAGGUGGUGCUGCCAUUCCCUGAACUAAGAGACCCAGAAAAAAUAUUAGGUUUGGUGAGGAAACAUAAUGAUUUUAGUUUGGACAUUUUAGUUGGGACAUCUGCUAGAGACGUGUUUGGGAGACAGUUGCAUGAAUGGGCAGGGAGCUCACAAAAGAGGUCCAGGUACAAUAGGGAUGUGGGAGCUCUGGACACCUUUGUGGGAGGGGUGAGGUCACCAGGAAGAGCAUAGCAUGGAGAAGAGGACCCAGAGCAGAACCCAAAGGCAAACCAGGACUACAGAUGGAUAGAGAUAUGCUGAUGAGUCUGGGCUUCAGUACAGGGUAGCUGGCUAUCGCAAUUCUUGCAAUGCAGUUUCUCCUUUUGAAAAUAUGUCUUACCUCCUUGCAGGUAAAAGAGCUCUGUUAGAUGAGGGCUUAUUAGAUUUAGAAACUUUAAACUAGCAUAUGUUUCUAUUUAGUAGGGUUCUUUGCACUGUAUAGUGAUUAAAGUCACUGGGAAAUAUUUUGACAUCCCAUUUUACAAAUAGGGACCAUAGAGUUCAAAAAGUUUUAAAUAUUUUACUUCUUGUUUCUCUGGGAUUUGGCUGACAAACUGGGGAUUUGAUGCCAAGAUUUUGGCUUCUGUACUUAGUAAAACUUUCAAAUUAGUUAUUCAGAGGUCAAGACAUGUUACAUAUGCCAUUAAUAUUCCUUUCUAAGUUUUAAUCCUCAAUUGAAUCUCUGGUUCAAUCAGCAGAUGCUCUUCUUUUCACCAAUAUGAUUUUUAGAAGGUUAUAGGAAAGCACAGAUUUUUGGCCAAUUAACUAAUCACCUAUUCAUGCUUCAAGAUGUAUUCAGGUAUGCCCCCAAUGCAGCGGGCAUACCUGAAUAUGCUAGGCUGGGCUAAGUGUCCUCAGACAAACUUCCAGCAUUCUGCAGACAGGUUUGUGUGUAUGGUUUUCUCCCCUGGCUGCAAGCACUGUGAAUCUCCAGCACUGUGAGCAGGGCUCAUAGACUAUGCUCCACCUCAGGACUAGGGAGAGGAUAUCGAGGAGACCUGGGUUGUGGUUGUGAUUCUGUUGUGGGUCUGUCGUUGGCUGUGUCAAGGCUGCAGACUUUUCCCUUGUCCCCGGAGGACCUCCUCUCAUGCAAUUGUCGGCUUUCAGAGUCGGCCAUCGACCACAAACCUCUCUUCUCUGUCACUUUCUCCUUUCUAUCCCCUCACCAUUCCAUACAGCAAUUUGACUUUUGGCAGAGAAUAAUUUGGCCUUGCCAGCAAUUUAUUGGGUCUUAUAGGACACAGGUGGCUUGUCAUCUUUUAUAAAACUUGCACAUAGCAGGCACCUAAUUAAUGAUGAUAAUAGUGAUAAUGCAAGGACAAUUGCACUAGACACAUUCUGUUAGUAUUGUGUCUGGUAGGAACUGUGGUCUUGCCUCUUUUGGGGUCAGUGUCUUUGCGUUUGUAUUUUAAGAUGAUGUGUGUGUUGUGGAGAAGAGCAUCCAGGUGAGCCAGCAUCCCCUAUGUGCUGAUAUUGCUGGAGUAGCUGGAAAUGAAUUUCAUGAGAAGGUAGGAGGGAGGGAGAGAAAGAGAGAGGAGAGGCAGGAAUUCAGAAAUUUGGGAUGUAUGGAUCUACAGGAGUAAUGGUAUUAUUUUUGACUUUAUAAAUAAUUUAAUCCUCAAAACAAACCCCAACCUAAAUAUUGUCUUCAUUUGAAAGGUGAGAAAACCAAAGCCCAGAGAGGUUAAAUAACUCGCCUAAGAUCAUAUCCUUGGAAGUGGCAGAAGUAGGAUUCGAACACAGGUCUGAGUGACUCAAAGCCAUGCUCUCAGCCCACAAUACCUCUACCUCACCUCCCAGGACAGUAAUGCUCAAUAGUUAGUUUGAUCAUUAGGAAGGCCCGGAGAGAUACUUGUGGGCCAUUCUUUUCACCUGAAAUCAGAAAUACCAAACACACUACCCCAUGGGACCACCUUGUGCCCACUGAGUAGUUAAGGCAGAGUUUGACUUAGGAUUCGCCUGAGGUACAGAGGCUUUGGUAAUCACUACACAGCUGCUCAUGGUGUAGCAGUAGUCUGUCUCCUUUGAGAAUAUUCUUUCUUGCUUGGACAUAUUUAGCAUGGCUCUAUUUGAAUUGCUGAAGUUAUAGCAUCUGGUAUUUUGUAUGCAUUUUCUCUGAAAUUAAAUUUUUUUUUAAAAGUCUACUAUUGUUCUCCCUGCAGCAAAGUGUCUGUCUCUCUCUGUUCCCCACCCCCACCUGCUUUUUAAUUUUAAAGCAUUUCUUUGGCAUGGUCUACUCUCCUGACUGUGUCUGCCUUGAUGGAAUUUGGGUUUCAAUAGCAUCUGCUCUGAUUCCAGCAGGAUUUUGAGGACUUUUAAAUUUAUCUGCCAAUCCUUUUAAGCAACAGGCUACCCUUUCAAUAAUUAAGGGAAAAACCCCACAGCCACUAACAACCUGCCCUUCCUCCCCUUUCUUUCACACUAGUCCUAGCAUUUCUGGUUAACAGCUCUGCUGGAUAAAUUAGAAAACAAAAUCUCUGUGGGUGACCAGGCAAAACUUAUUAAUCAAUCAUAUAACCCUAGCAGACGACACAGCCCUAAUACAAAUAUUUGUGCUUCUGUCAUUGGCACUCAUCUGAUCGCUGCCAAAUAGUGACAGAUUUUAAAGACAAUCACAUUAAGUAUUAAUCAGGCUUGAAAGACGCAGCCAUGCAGAGGCAUACUAACGAGUAGGCCUCUCCUUCCUGUCUUCUGCACUAGCAGCAAUCCACACCAGCAUAGUAUUGAAACUGUCCUUUUCUUUCGUAGAACAUCCCUUUCAGCAUGCUGCAAAAUCUGAAACAGUGUUGGCUGGCUGAGUGACCUUGAGCCAAUGACACAGCUCCUACUAGACGAUGCCAUGGUCUCCAGGCUCCCCUGAUUAUGCCCACGUUCCUUACUCUCUCUCUUCUGGGCGUGAGCAAGGGCUAGAUGGUCAGUGUGGGAAUUAGUGAGUGGAUAGGGGUUAGAAAAGGGGAGCAGACCAUGGAGAAGGCAGCACAGAGACAGGGGCUCAGCUGGGCCUGGAAGGAAGAAGGCAGCUACAGGAAAGGGACCCAGGUAAGGCUGGGAACAAUGGGCUACCAUAUCUGGGCAUCUGUGAGGACAAAGUUGCCAGCCUACAUGCUCUGGAGAGUCAGUGUCAGAGAGAAGGGAAUUAUUUGGAGACUGAGGCUUUCCAAUGGGUGAUGGAUGCUCAGAGGAUGUAGAGAAGAAUCAAAGUUCCAGACCCACCAUAGUUCUUCCUUGAGUUGCCUGGUCCACCGCAGAAGGAGAUUAGAGGUUCCAGAGCUAUUCAGAGUUCCUGGGUAUUAAUUUUGAAGUCAGACUAUACAGAGUUGCCAGAUAGAAAAGUGGACUGACAGCUCAGUCAGGGUCCUGUGGGGCCUUGUCCAGCUGGGGUUGGCUUUUAAGUUCUGUGAUGUGAGAGAUGUGAAUUUAUCUGUUCUGAGAUGUCCAGAUUCAGGGAACUGACUCACAAUGACCAAACUCAUGUCAGAUUGAUGUUUAAGUGGAAGAAGUCCAGUUUCUUACUGAGGUGAGGUAGGGGUAAGUGUGUGUGUGUGUGUGUGUGUGAACAAAAGAGAGAACAUGGAAUUGACUAGUUGGUGCCUUCUCUCUUUAUAGGCAAACCUACAAGUUAUAAUUUAAAAUGUGAUUUGUUAAGUGCAAGUUCCCAAAAUGACAUAUUAUCUUCUGGACAGUGACACAAACAUACCAGCAAAUUCUUGUGACUUGAUCUGUAUUUUUCUAGACUCUUUGAAGAGCACUUGUUCUCAAUCUACUUUCACAAUCUUUUCUGAACAUUUAAUGGGGGCUCCAAGUCAUUUCCUGGACAGUAAAGCCCCUCCAGUUAGGGUUUUCUCAAUGGGUAGGGAGGGAGUUAGAGGCCUGUAGGUGAAAAACUAGGAGAGAAACUCAGAUGGUAAUGAUCUCUUGGCCCCUCUCUCGGCAAUCUAUUUAAGCUCCUAAUAUUCCUUUCUUUCCUCAUAAACUAGAAAAUUACUAGAAUCAUAGAAUUGCAGGAGUUGGAAGAGGCCUUAGGCAUAAGCUCCUUGGAUGCAGUUUUGCCUCUUAGGCACACAUCUUGUCACUUGCUUAGGGGACAUGUGAGUGAGAGAUGGAAGGAAGGGCAGAAGUUCUUUCCCCUGAAUCCCCCAAAGGCAGAUAUUUCUACUGGGGGUUCAGGGUAAGGAUGCUGGCAAGAAAAAUAGUUUCCUAUGAGCCAUCUUUCCUUCUGCUUCUUCAUGCUUCACUCACUCCUACGGCUCGACUUUACUCCUACCCAAGAGCCACCUGACCUUCUCCAUUCCCCACCCUCCUGCUGGGGCGGGGACCUGGCCCCACAGUGUCCUUCUUUUUUGCAGUGCCCCAUGUCUUUGCCUCCAGUGUCAGUACACACCCCUAGGAGGCCCCAUCCAUAGCCCCACAGCCCAACACGGGAAGGCAGGCCCCCCCUCACUUAUCUUUGCUCCUGGCAGAGAGCCCAGCCUAGGGUGACAGGGCAAUAGAUAUUUGUUAAUUGGAAUUAAAAUGUGGGACUGUGAGUGGAACUUUGGGGGUUCCAUUUGUAGCACUCUUUCUUCUUCCUCAGAAAGGAUGAGUAUUGGGAGUCUCACCAUCUCUCUACAGAGAGGGAAAAACAAAUAAUGUGCCUUGAGCACCCUUCCACAUAGCAGGAGUUCGAUUUUCAUGGGUAGUGCCCCAUGGGGGAUAAAAUACAGAGUCCAGGGGUGUUGGAGCAUCUCGAUUUCACAGACUGAUGAGAUAAAUUGUUAUACCUGAGUUUCUCUCAGUUUUGGAGUUUUAGCCCUUCCUGUCUUUUAAAUGCUGAAUACAAAGCCCUUGUUAGUCUAUCAAGAUGUCCUGGGGGACUGCCCAGGGAUUCCUUUGCAGGUGUUGGUAGACCCUGGUUUGACCUGGGGGUGUGGUAGGAUAGAUUAUUUGCUGGGACUUAUGAAACUUGUCCAGCUCUAUUAGCAUGGCUAGAACCAGUUCCUGACCCCUUUCCAUCUUCUGCCACAAAUUUCCAAAGGCUCAAGAAGAAUAGAGUUCAUUUCCCCUGAUUACUUUCUUUUCAUUAUUUUAAUAUCAAUCUCAUCUUGGUUUCUCACUCACAUCCUGAGUAGCAAUGAGGAAGAAAAUAUUGAUCAUGACUCAGGAAGCUGUGUCAAGUGUCUCUUGAGAGCAUCAAACACACUUGGUUUUUGUAUGGGGUCAAUAGAUCAGAAAAUUCUUCCAGCUUCUAGAUAUUUCUGUUGCAUAGAAUCUUCCAUUUUAUAGUCUGAAAUAGAUGAUGCCACUUCAGAUCAUUGGCAGAUUCAGAUCCAGCCCGUGCCAGGCGCAGUCGCUUUUUUUUUUUUUUUUUUUUGCUGCUGGGAAUUGAACUCAGGGGCCACUGAGCCACAUCCCCAGUCCUAUUUUGUAUUUUAUUUAGAGACAGGAUCUCACUGAGUUGCUCAGUGCCUUGCUUUUACUGAGGAUCAACUCACGAUCCUCCUGCCUUGGCCUCCUGAGCUGCUGGGAUUACAGGUGUGCGCCACCACGCUCUGCUGAGUCACUAUUGACCCCUUUGUGUAUGAUUGUGUCUUCUUUUCCAUGUUGGUGCACAUUUGCUUCCAUCAGCUGCCCCGCCACCCUGCUCUUGGAGGACUGUCCCAGCCACUAGAGGCCCUCUGCCUAGACACAGAGCUGUCUGUCCAGUGCCUGGGAGCUUAUGAUCCUAGCCUCCUUAGCCAAUGAUUGACAGGCCUGGCGUAUGAAGGGUCAGCCACCUGCCUGGGGCUGGGACACACUCAGGCAUACUUUAUACUCCAGAAUUUCCCUGUGGACCAGGUGGACGCAACUCUCCAUGGGCCCUAACCCUGAAAUUGCACCUAUGCUACGCUUCUUUUUCUUCCUGUUCUGCCUUCUCCACUUCCUUACCUGUUUCUCCUGGGAAUCUGUCUGUCUUCCUUUUUUGUAGUUGUUGUCCUGAGGAUAGAACGAAAGCCUUGUGCAUGCUAAGACUGGGAGCACUUCUUAAUAAAUCCCUUGUCCGUGAAUCCUCAUUUCAGGCCUGUUUCUGGGGAACCUGACCCCAGACAAUGAUGCCACAUUGAAUUCUCACAGCAACCCUGUGGCAAUUGAAUUAAAAUAGUACUUUCAUUAGUCUCAUUUACAGAUAAAGAAAUGAGAUGCCUAGUUAGUUCUCGAGUGAUUUCCAUAGGAUCAUUCAACUAGUAAGGUACGGAGUUGUGGAUUUCAGAACCUCUGACUUCACAUCCUGGACCUGGUUAUUUACAAUUCUCUACUGUAGAAUUCCCUUCCAUCUCAUAUGAAGGCUGGUAGUUUAGGCCAGUGACUAUGCAGAAAAUAUCUACUCUAUCACAUAUUAUGGACAAAAAAGUAAGCAAAAUAGUAUUGAAUUAAUUUAUAAAUAUAUAAUUAUAAACCAUGAUGAAAGCUAUAAAGCUAUCCAGGUUUAGAUUGGGUAAUGUGUAUGUGGGUGUGGGGUGUAUCCACCCCCUUUUAGGGAAAAGAUAGGUUUGCAUGAGAAAACAAACAAACAACUCACUCCUGUUUGCCUGAAAUGCAAUGGCAUGCAGCUGAAUGAAAUUAAGCUUAAUUUUGUAUUUUCUGUUGAGGUAGGGUUAAUUUUGUAAGCUUCCUGUGAUCUGAAGCUGUGUUUUUUGUAGCUUGCUUUCACUAUCUGUCAACAACAUGUAAGAAGUCUAUCCACACACAACUCACCGCCUCCCUUGCACAAGCCCCAAGACCUUGGCAAGCCUCCUUGAUGCCAAUCAGCAGCCCCUAGUAAUGUAAAAAGUGGUGGCAGCUUUGGCUUCCCCAUCGAAGAGUUCCUCAUUAAAAUCUGUGCUUGGCAGAACAGUUGGUCCCAGAUUACAUAUUCUGGCUUGUGGUGGGGCAAUUGAAGGACAGAGACAAUAAAUGCUCACAGCUUGUUAAUGACACCCUCAGAAGAUGGGGUUACCUUCUAGAUAUUUUUCUAGAGAAAUUUGGGCCACUGAUCAUACACACAGACACUUAUUCACUCAUUUCUAAGCUUUCAUAUUCUUUCUCUAUAAUGUAAGAGAGAUUAAUAAACACAACUUUUCAAAGUUAUGUUUUUAUUUCUCCAAUUGGUAAUCAUAAAAGAAAGAGGGGCUGAAACCUGAGCUGUCAUUCAAUAGACCCAGUUUAAGUGACAGGGAAGAAUCUAAGAGGCAUAAGAAGCUUCUCUGACCUUAAGAGAAUCCCUGUGAUUUAAUUAUUAUUAGGGAUAACAACAAUACUUAUGACAAUUGUUAGAUUCAUCUCUGAGCUGCUAUUUUACAGUUGAUGAAAAAUUUUCAACUUUUAAAUCUCAUUUUUUUCACAAUCCCUUCCUUGGAGUGGAAACUCAGAAGUUUUUUUUUUCCCCACUGAUUCACCGUUAAUAAAGAGAAAGCUGGUUCUGUUACUGCUGAUCCAACCCCAGUUUCUAGGGUUGUCACCUGUGAAUGACUCAGACCCCAAAUUACAUUUAAAAAAAUCAAUCUAUGUAUUUUCAGAAGUUGUGAAGUUGGAAUCAGAAAAGGCUAAAACAGCAUCUAUGGGUACUAAUUCCCCCAAGGUCUACUUUAAUGAACUUCUGGUAUAGCAACAGGGAUAACAAGGAUAAUCAUAUUUCUAGCUACAGAAAUGUCCACAAAUACCCAGAACUUCAAAAGUCAGGGUUGGAAGUUUUUUGCUUAAUAGACACUAGAUAGUGCAUGAUGAUUUUUUAAAAAAAUUGUUAUAGCCUAACUAAAUUCUCACAAUACAAAUGAUAAUGAUAAUGGUUUACACUUAUUGAGUUCCUACCACAUGCUGGGAACUUUGCUAAGCACGAGGGAGUCAAAGAGGUAUAGGAUGGGGUCCAAGCCUUCAAGCAGUUUGUAUUCAAGUUGGAAAGCUCCACUUUGGCUAACUGGUUGAUGAUUGCUAUGGAGAAGAAGUUUAGUGGAUAGAGAUAUUGCCAUGGUCUGGCACAAUCAGAGGUAGCAAACAGAGGAAAUAGAGCAAUGUAAAGACCUUAAAUGAGAUAAAUAAAGGGGCAUGGGAAGAAUGCUCCAGGCAGGGGUAGUGAAAAGAACUAGUAUGUAGAGCUGGAAAUGUAUGAGUUAUAUUUAAAAGACAAGAGAAUAAUACAACUGGAGUGAAAUAUAAGAACAGAGGUAGAAACAUAAUCCUUGAAAUCCAGGUGCCAAACAGGAUACUGGUGGUGGCUACAAUACAUUGGAUGGUAAUUAAAUAUGGCAAAUAUAACAGCAAUAGUGGUUGAUGCCAUCAUUAAUGUCUAAUAUUUACCUGUUCCUGCUGUAGGUAUUUACUGUUCUUUCUCAUCGAAUCACUCUUUAAAUCAGUAAAUUUUCAUUGCCCACUAUAAUUCUCACAAGAAUCCAAAAUACUUGUUUUUACUUCCAUUUUAAAAUGAAAAUACUGAAGCCCAAUAGGAAUAAGUAACGUGUAGAGUCACACAGCUAAUUAAUAGAGGAGUCUUGAUUUGGGCCCAUGCUGUUGGUCACAGCCUGCAGUUUCCCCCAUGCUAUCCCUUUACAGGGGUGGGCAUAUGGAAGUUGUUUGGAAAGGUGAAGACAGGAUGUCAUAACAGAGAGAAUCUUGGAGGUGGGCAACUAUUGCAAUAGGCCAGACACUGUAGUGGUAGCUUGUGGUGUGAGGAGAAAGGGAGGGAGGGAAAAGGAGGGAGAAGGGGAAUAGCAAGGAUGGUGGAAGGAGAUGGUCAUCAUUAUACAAAAUACAUUUUGAAGAUGUGAAUUUGGUGUCAACAUACCUUAUAUACAAACAGAGAUAUGACAAAUUGUGGUAUAAAGGUGUAUUAAGAAUUGUAAUGCAAAAAAAGAAAAAACAAGAGAGCUCAUGUAUAAUGGCAUAAUUUGGCGUGAAAAUACUUUAUAUACAUAGUUACAAAAAAUUGUGCUGUGAAUGUAUAAUUAUGAAUAUAAUGCAUUCCACUAUUGUCAUGUAUGUAAUAAAUAAAUAAAUAAAUAUGGCUUUCCACUAUAAAAAAAAAAAAAGAAUAUGUGCAUCUAAAGGACAGAGUCCUUCAGGCUUGUUAUCUUAGGAGACUUUGGCCUUGUUCUGACAAUGCUGCCAUUACUCAAAAGUAUUGAGAACUCUUCCUUCAGGAUUGUCUUCAACCACAUGGGAAAAGUUCUAACUUCAGCCACCAUGUCAUUACUCAGCCUGAUGACCCACCUGAUUUUCCAAGCUUGAUUCCAACUCACUUGUUUUAGAAAAUGAAAACUGUUAAGGGACAAAGCUUGGCCACUCUUGAGGGCGAGCUCAGGUUGUUCUCACACCCAGGGGGACAGUUUGGAUCAUGUGGACAUAAGGAAGUCCUGGUUUUGAACCCUGACUCAACCAAUUCCUUGGCCAAGUUAUUUAACUCAGUAUGCUUCAGGUCCUUGAGCUGUAGAAUGUAUAUUAUGAUUCCUUUCCUGGAGUGUGGUAGUUUUAAUUAGGAUGCUUUCAGCAGCAAAUGAGAAGUCAACUCAAAUUGGCUUAAAUAAUGUAGAAAUUUAUUUGCUCACCUAUGGAUAAGUCCAGAGGUGAAGUGGGUCCCAGGAAGAAUACAGCUGUGGCUGACUUCAGUUCUCUGAAGUUCUCUUGGCUCUGUCCUCUUCUGAUGUCCAGCUUUGUCAUCUGGCUGAUCCCGUUUGCAGUUCUCAAGUCAUUAACAACAUCUAGGACAGUUUCCUUUCUUCUUUAUUUCUAGUCUUUAAGAGAGAAAAAUCUCUUUUAGAGAUGAAUAUUUACACUUUCCUUUCGUCUGUUGGGACCAACUUAGGACACAUGCCCACCCAUGGACCAGUGCUCAGUAGUGAAGGGCCAUGUGUGAAUUGGCUUAGCGCAGGAUAGACUGGGUGUUAAAAGGGAUUAAAUUGUAUAAUUCAUAGGCAUUAUUUGGUCCACAGCUAAUACUCAAUGAAAGUUCGUUAUUUUUCCUAAUAAUGAGGAGAGUAUUCUUUGGGUAAAUUACACAUGCAUGCCUGACAUCCAUCAUCUAUCUAUCUAUCUAUCUACCUACCUACCUACCUACCUACCUACCUAUCUGAUAUAUUUAUAUAUGUAUGGAAUGUCUUCUCUUUAAGGUUUAUCCUCAUUCUCUUCUUUGAUUCAGGGUCACACUCUUUCUUCUCACCAGAACAGACUACAGAACAGUGCACACGCUGAGAUGGUAGCCCCAGACUUGUUUAGUGCAUGAGAGAAAAACAACAACAACAACAACAACUCUUGUUGUAAAUGGAGACAGAAAUUGGAACGUAUGACCAGGUAUGGAGUGCUGAGUGGGGGUUGGGAAAGAGGAGGAAUCAGGAGAGGAGGCACCAAAAUCGUAUUGAUUUUGCUUUUGCUUUAUUCCUUCCAGCUCUGCUCCUGGUGCUAUCUCUGUCUUCACAUUAACGCAUCAGGGCAGGGUGCUGGGAUGAUGUUGGUGGCUCUUACGUGCAAUUUGAAGAAAGUUUUAAACAGCUCAUCCAUCCAGGCAUUUUUAGGACCCAUUUCAUCUUUAUGUUAUUUGGCAAGUAGCUGGGAAAGACCAGAACUGAGGCUUUACACCUAUUUAGCACCUGGUUAAGCAUCACUUGGCACCUGCCAAAUGGGUCUCUACAUUUUAGGGGGAAUUUGCACUGAUUACUGUACUAAUUAAGCAGAAGUCAUUGCUACUCGCAAUCAUUAGGCUAAAUCGGUUUCUGGGGAAAAGUCUUGAUAAGCAGCUGCCCAGUUGAAGUGGAUUUGAAGGCGCCCUACGCACAUAGCUCAUGCGUUAGCAGUUGCUCUCAUGCUAUCGGGUCCUUAAUGUGACUGAACUCAGGGAUAACUGACAGUCUCAAUGCUGGGUGACAUGGGUUGGGGAGUCUUAAAAGGUGAGAUGCUCAAACUUAAUUGAGGUAAAUGAUACUAAGUACUGAGCAUAAAGGGCAUGCCCAGGAGUGAGUAGAUAUUUCACACAUGCUUAGGCCCACAGUUAUCUUCUUUGUCAUUUUUGCCUGCCCUGGUUCCUUUUCCUACCCCAGUGACCUUCAACUUACCCUUUAGGUUACUGGGAACAUUUUGUAGACAAUGUUUUUGUGCCUGGGGUAUGGUAGACUCUCUGAACUUUGAUACUUAGGAUUUAUGGGAACUUUUGCUGGAAAAUUUGGGGGAGGAACAUUGUGUGGGAGAGGGGUGGGGAGAGUAUACAGCAAUUGCUUUGAUUUCUAAAAUGUUGGGAGUGCUUGUGAGCAUCUGAGGACUUUUCCAUGGGCAACAGAUUGUCAUAAGAGACCAAGAACCUCUCAAAGAGCAUCAGAUCCUCUGCCUGAAGACAAGCAGUUUUGAAUCAGGCACAAACUGCCUCUGAAGACUUAUUUUUCUAUCUUUUUUAAUAACACAGCCACUGAGUUUUAUAGAAUAUUGUGUUGGAAGUUAGAGAAAUGCCAAACUGGAUGGGUAGCAUGAAAAAUACAAUGUGGCAUAGAACCUUAUCUAUAUUUGUGUACAAAAUUUACUACUUUGAGAUAAACUUGAAACAUUGUACUGGCUAUUUCUGAGAUGCUAAUGUGCAUCAUGAGGUCAGUAAAUUUUCCCAACAUUGUCUGUUUUCACAAGCCUUUCCUGGAAUCCUGAGGGAGGUAAUUUCUUUUGGAGGAGGAGGUAGAUAGCUCCAUAUUAUUAAAAAUUGUGAUGAUGUUUGGGGGCAAUUGCAUCUCACUUUCUGGAAGGUUGGAGAAAAGGAAUUCAAUUUGAAGCCAAUGGAAAAUUUCAAACAUGGGUGCAAUCCCAUAUAACAAAUGCCACUGUAAUGAACAUCUCCACAUCCCAGUGAUUCCCAGUGGCCUAUUUGUACCAGGCAGUAUUCAAUGAGGAAAAACUGCUCUAAAUAAAAAUGUGAAUAAUCCCUUGAAGUUUAUUCUAAUAGGAAACUAUGGCUCCAAAUCUUCAGGGGGCAGGGCUGAGAGUGAUAAGAGAUACUGCCUUGGAGAGUAGCCUCUGCCAGACAGUUUCCAAGGGGGUUAUUUGAGAGUUUAGUGGCGAAGGAAAACCAGAUAGAGGACCAUGAGGACAUGAGCCCUUUCAGAAACAUUCAGAUAGCUUGACAUUUAAUGAAGGUAGAGAAGCUCCAAACAUCUAAUUUUUCAAAUUGAAGAGAAGGGUAAUUUGGGAAUGCUAGAGAAUUCAGUACCAUUUUGCUAGGGGCUCCCUUCCUAUUAGUGUAAUGCCUAGUGCCUGCUAGGGCUGCAUUAAAUAACUAUUGUGCAUAUAAAGUGAGAAUGAGCACAGAGUUGUCCUAUAAAUAGUACAGUGCUACACAAAAGUUAGAUACCAUAGCUAAUUAUGUUAAUGAUUUAUCAGGUUCAUUUCCAGGGAGGCGAUGGGAUGGGACAUGGAUGAGAGAUGAUGCUGAAAACAAGAAAAGGGCACGGAGAUGGAAAGGAGGGAAUAUGGAGACUUCUCUUCUUGUUAUAGACUCUUGAUUUUGGAGAUGGAAAACAUUUUCAAAUGUUUUUCCAAUUUUGUGAUUAGCCCUUUCUUUGGAGUCUGGUAGUCAGGUAGUGAACUUCUGUGUCCAAUCCAAAGAGCCACACAGCCCUGCAGUCUUUUUUUAUUCUCUGGUGUGAAAGACACACAUAGAUGGCCCAAGAUCUCAUUUUCUCUUGCUUCUGGCACCUUCACAGAGUUCUGGCUCAGUUCUGAGUCAGCUCAGUGGAGAAGCAAGCCACAGGGAUUUGAAGGCCCCACCCCUAACAAGGCUGUUGUACACCAGGAAGCUCGAGUUAUUCAGUAGUCACAAAGCUGUUCCAUGGCCCUAUAAAUGAGAGAGCAUCAAGGUGCGCCCGUCAAUGGCAACCUUGCAUGGAGCACAUGGCCAUCUGUGCUUGGCCUGCGCUGUGGGGUGGAGAGAGGUCUGUGGGUUACAUGUGUUCCACUGCUUCUCUGCAGGUCAGUUUCCCUCCAAAAAUCCAUUUUACAUCAGUACCACACGAUCCCUUUGAUCCUUGGAAUUCAGGUUCUUUUUGAAAUGAGGUUCAGGUUUUCUAGGCACCUGAAAUGGCAGGGGUGCAAUUCUCCUGCCAUGAGAGAUUAAUAAUAAAGAGAACUUUUCCUUUGGAAUAGACAGACAUGACUGGUUAGCAAGAAGGGUGGAAAGAUAAAAGGGAAGAAAAGUAUAUGCAACUUUCAAAAAAGCCCCAUACCAAUCUGUCCCUUGACAGGAAUGCCAUUGGCAGUAUCUGAUAUUUCCUUCCCACUUCCAGAAGCUUCCUAGAGCUGCCAGGCUGCUCAGGGCAGGAUUGUUUUCUGCUUAUUGCCAGGGAAAAUGAAGAUGGGGUUGCUGAGGGAAAAAAAAAAAAAAGAUUCUCCCUAGCUCCUAAAUGAGGACAUAAUGAAAGAUGUCCCUGGAGAGGAAGGGCAGGCUGGUGCACUACAGGAAGACCCACGACAGCUAUGGACACAGAGGCUGGAGAGACUGCCUAUUUCUUUCAGAAAGUGCUCUUUGGAGUCUGGUAGUCAGGUAGAGAACUUCUGGGAGCCUGCCUGAGGCCUGUGGACAGAUGGCCUCCCACCUCCUGCUGGGGAAGCUCCUUAUUCUGGUUGGGUGAUGCGGCUGUGCUGUCUCAGGAGGAUUAUCUAAAGUAAGUACAGAAGGAAUUGAUUUAUUUUACUGCUGAAAUGCUGCCUUCCUGCAGAUGGAAGAUGGCAGCUCUUGAUCCAAUAUUAUCGAUUUGCUGCAGCUGGUCUGCUGAAGUCGUAGAAAAACUCCACACAAUUGGCUACCCAAGGAAGCGGAGAGGUGGCUCAGCCAGACAGACUCAGUUGGGUUCGGUCAGGUGUGGGUUGAGCAAGUAGGUCUUCGGUAGCUCAAAAGAGAAGAUUUUUCUCCCUGGGUUUGGUCCCUGUCUACACAGUACUGUGGUUCAGAUUUUAGCCUGGGAGUCAGUCAGCCUUGGCUUCCAAGUUUCCCUCCUCAUUUACUAACUGUAUAUACUUGAUUGCAUAUUUAACCUCUUUUUCAUUCAUUUUUGAAUGAAAAAAAAAAUUUAAAUGAACACCUGGAAAAUCUCUGCACCUUUAUAUACCUGUGAAGUAGGUUUGACCCCAUUUAUGUCUUGGAUAUGUGAAAAGAGCCAAAGAUACAGAUGGGAGUGAGGUGGCUUGACUUUCUUCUCUGUCGUGGUGGCACAUGUCUGCAAUCCCAGUGGUUUGGGUCUGAGGUAGGAGGAUAGCAAGUUCAAGGCCAGCCUCAGCACCUUAACAGAGCCCUAAGCAACUUAGCAAGACCCUGUCUCAAAACAAAAAAAUAAAAACAGACUGGGGAUGUGUCUCAGCAUCCCUGGGUUCAAUCCUAGUGCCAAAUUGGGGGAGAGCAGAGUCUGGAAGCAGCUAAAUGCUCUGCUUAGAACAGUAGGACAGCUGUCACCUGAGAAAGGCCCCAGAAUAAAUGACAGCAAGAUCGGUAAGGAGAGCAGGUCCAGGCAGAGCUUUAGGGCACUCUUGUUUUGAUCAAUCAAUGACCUGUCAGGGAACUGGGUCGGGUUUCCUCUGCCUUUGCCUCCAAAUCAGCUUUGCCUCUUCAAAUAGAAAUAAAGGGCAGCUCUGGACACCUGAAGUUAGCCCUUUAGGCCUCUCCUUAUCCAUGUCUGCUUUCCCAGGGCAGUUUGCUGAGCUGUCUGUCUGUUAGCACUGUUCUCUUGCCAAGUCCCUUCCUAGGCAGCCUGGUGCCAUGAUUGCAAUGUGCCAAGGUUCCAGGUACACUCCAAAAUCAUAGUUACAGUCAUGUACCUCAUUACAAUCUUUGAUCAACGAUAAACUUCAUAUCUGAUGAGAGUUCCAUGAGAUUAUAUCUCCUAGUGAUGUGGUAGCUGUCUUAGUUUGUGUAACUACAUUUUCUGAUGUUGGCACAAUAAUGAAAUCAGCUAAUGAUGCCUUUCUCAGAAUGUAUGCCCAUCAGUAAAUGAUGCAUAACUGUACUUCCAGUUAAAAACGACAGUUAAACCCAUUCCUCUCUUCUUCUUCCUGAAACCUCAUGAAAAUGCGUGCCAAGGAUUAAAAACCCCAAAGAUAGAGGAAAUGUGAGACACUAUGAAGGAGGUCAACCCAUUUUUGGAGGAUGGAAAGCAAAUGAAGGAGGAGCUACUGAUUCAGAGGGGGAAGCUGUAACUUCAGUGUCCCCAGGGAAGGGCAAGGAGGAGAACCAAGAUGAUGGCCUGCAAGGUCCAGCAGGUGGGCUUGACACAUGGGAUCAGGCCAGGCCUUUGUUUGAAGUCUGCCUAGGUUCAAUUAGAACCCCAGGUCUCUCCUGGACCCAGGCAGAGGUGAUAACUGUCCUCCUCCCCUCUGUUUAGAAAUUGGACCUGGAGAGGCUAGGUUCAGCACAUGAGGACAUCAUACACCGGAAGUAGUGGGGGUAACACACAGACUGGCUAUGCCGUUUCUGAGGGUGGGGGCUUUCACCUACCUUCUUUGUUCUGCUAUCCCAGAUGCUGACAGCCAGGACCUGAGCCCUAGAGUAAAGGUGGCUUCUACUCCAGGGAGACUGAAUUGGAAUUGGUUACAGAUCCUGAAGUUUGAGGACCCCUUAAACCUUAGAAAUUGAUACGCCAUGCUGAGGCAUUCUGAAUUUCUCAUCUAUUUAAAAAUUUUCAGGAAUUUAACUUUGAACUCAACUCAAACUGCACCGCUCCUGUGGUGGGUAGAGACUGAAAUCUUGGUUCAAUUUUUCAGCCUUAGCUUAGCUAUUUAAGUGUCUGCCCUGCUUAUGCAUGGUUCAGGAGGCAGCCAGAGAUCAGGUGGGAGUUUAUUCAUAGAAUAUAGGGCUUUCCCUUUCUGGCACUUUCCUUUCUGGAUAAAGUAUUUCACAGUUUUGCUCUUGCCCAGUACUCAAAAUAUUUGAGCCAGUAAGCCUGUAGGUGUCUGUUAGAAUGUUUGCCCUCUGCUUGGAGCUGAAUGGGACUUGUUUUCAGGCUAGAAAAAAAAAAAAGGAGAAAUGACCCAGCACUUCCAAAUGUCAAUUUGUCUCUGACUUCCAGAUACUCUUCAGUGCCUUCAGGAAGUUUUUUUGUUUGCUUGUUUGAUUGAUUUUAAAGUUCAGGAUUAUAGUAGUUUUCGGAAUGGGACAGGGUGGGAGAUUGGUCUGGUAAGAGUUGAUUGUUGGGGCUGGGGUUUUGGCUGAGCGGUGGCUCACCUAGCACAUGGGAGGCGCUGGGUUCAAUUUUCAGCACCACAUAAAAAUAAAUUAAUAAAAUAAAGUAUUGUGGCCAACUACAAGUAAAAAAAAAUUUAAAAAGAGUUUAUUGUUGAUUGGAGCUAAUUUUUGGUAGCCAUUACUUUUUUAAACUUAUAUUUUCUCAUCCCCUUUCUCCAUCUUUUAAAUAUGAAAGAACAGUUAAGGACCAGCAAAAGUUUGAGGAAGUCAUGCAAUAUGAGAGAUAGGGAAAUAUAAACAAAACUUUAAAAUGGGGGAAAAUUUGGGAGACAGAUGCUCAGACAAAACAGAGGUACUGUCCAAGAAGAAUAAAGUACAAAAAAAUAACUCUCCACAAUAAUAUUUGCAGAAAGACAAUAAAUAUUUUACCUAUAUAUCAAAAGCGGGCUGCUGUUUUAAAAAUAAAUUUGGAGGACCAGAAAUGUCUUAUAAAUUAAAAAAUAGCAUUACACACAUGCUAAAUAGUGAAAGAAAUUGACUAGAAAGUAAAGCAAAAUGAUAGACAUGAACAUUAAGAAAGAAAAUAUAAGAAUCAACCUAAGAAGGCUAAUAUCUAACUAACUGAAGCUCUAGAAAGGGAGAAUAGAGAACCAGGAGAAAAAGAUCUUUUCAAGGAAAUAACACAAGAAUGUAUUCCUGAGGUGAGUACCCUAAAUAUCUAGAGUCUAGAUCAGAGUUGGUAAACUAUGACCUAUAGGCCUGUUUUGUAAAUAAAGUUUUAUUGAAACACAGCCAUGCUAAUUUGCUUCUAUGUAGUUCAUGGCUAGAGGAUAGAGUUGGAAAGUUAAGAGAGAAACUGUAUGGCCUACAAAACAUAAAAUAUUUACUAUCUGGUCCCUUAUAGAAAAAGGUGCUCACUGCUGGUUCGAACGAUGAGAUCCCUCCAUUGACCAACACCAUGAAUACAAGAAGACGCAGAUAUAAGGACAUAUUGUGAAUUUUCAAUACACCAGGAGUAAAGAGAAAAAUCUUGAGAUUCCAGAGAGAAAAGAGAGUCACGUAGAAAGAAUCAGAAAUCAGAAUGGGAUUGAACUUCUCAAAAGCAAUGUUGGAAGUCAUAAGAAAGUGGAAUGAUACCUUCAGGAUUCUGCAGGAAAUAAUAAAAAAAAUUAAUCUGGAACUUAAUCCAGUAUAAAGAUGAAAUAAAGGUGUUUUCAGACGGCGACAUCUCAAAGAUUGUACUUCUAGUCUUCUUCAGAGGAUAUGCCUCAGCACAAUGAGGGAGUAAACCAAGAAGGAGGAGGACAUGGAAGCCUGUGCGUAGGACAGUGGUGGGAGAUCCUGAGGAUGCUGCCGGGCUCUAGGCCCAGAGAGCAAUGGGUCCAGGCUGAAGGGCUGCGGGUGGGUGGUCAUCUGGGAAAAAUACAUGGAACUGAAGCUUGUCUGUGUGCUGGACCAAGUAAAGGAGAACACAGACCAUUAAGGGUUUAGAAGCAUUUGGGGCUGGUUAUUUGGUAAACUAAACAGAUCCACCAAAAGUGCAAUUAUUCCAUGGGAAAGAUUGCAUGAUAAAGUAUAACUGCAGCACUGACUCACCAGUGGAGAAUAUUUACACAAUCUGCCUGGUGGCUGAGUGGUCCCCCUCCUGCUUUGUGAUCUGAGAAACAUUUCAUCCCACUAGUUCCUUCAGCCCUGGGGGAGGCAGGAACUGGAGUGACUGGCCUCUGUUUGGUCUUUCAGCAAUUCUAACGCUUUCUACCUAAAACCCUAUAUGAAAUUUCCUUCUAUUGAAUGAUCUGGCAUGGGUUUGUGGAGUCUGACGGUCUCUGAAAUUGAUAAAGCAAGAAAUAGCACAGGUAGGCAUUGAGUUAGAAAUACGGAAGUAAACACCAAGGGUAAAAAACGACAACGGAAAGAGUGGAAAGUCUGCUAUUGAGGAAAAGAACUUGGUGCUGGGAGAUGAGAGAGAUAUGUUAGGGAAAUGUUAUUGUUGGUUAUGUCUUUUAUAACAUUAUUUGACUUAAGCUAGAUACAUAUAUUAUUUUGAAAAACAAAAGCAAAAGCAAAAAUUCACUGAGAACAUUUGUCAACCUCAAAACCAGGGUAGUCAUCAGGUCUCAUAUUCCCACAGAUGAAGCUAUGAGCAAGUUAGAGAUUUAGGUGGGUGUGGGAUCCUCUGAGCCAACUAGGUAGGUGUUAGUAGGAGACAAAAAUUGCUCAUCUGCUAAAGGUAGCUGGGCCAUCUGGUCAUCAGUACAGGUGUACCCCACCACAAGCCAACCUCAGCCCAAGGCAAAGGACUGGAGUGCCCCUCCUCAGAAGGAGUUAUGAUGCUGGUGAAGUGCGCGGACCAUCCUCAUUAUAGCUACAGACAAAGGCACUGGGCAGGAUUAAAGCAACAUCACUUUAAAGUUGAGAGACUUCCACUAGAGGCAGUUCCCUUAGCUUUCCUUAUGCAAUCUAGAUCUUAUUUCACCAUUCAGAGUUCUACUUUUUCCUGUGAGGAUCAGAGAUACCUUAUUAAAAAGUAUCAUCAUUCCAUAGUGUAGAUAUUAAUACUUCAUCAGAAAAAUAGCUAGUAAAUAUUUUUUCCCAUUCUGUAGAUAAUGGGCAAACAAAUUAAACAGACACUUCUCAAAAGAAGAAAUACAAAUGGCCAACAAAUAUAUGAAAAAAUGUUCAAUAUCAUUUACAAUUAGGAAAAUGCAAAUCAAAACUACACAGAGAUUGUAUCUCACACUGGUCAGAAUGGCAGUCAGCAAGAACACAAUAAUAAAUGCUGGAGAGGAUGUGGAGGAAAAGGAACACUUUUACACUGUUGGUGGAAUUGUAAAUUAGUACAAACACUAUGGAAAUCAGUAUGGAGGUUCCUCAAAAGACUAGGAUAGAACAACCAUAUGACCCAGCUAUAUCACUGCUAAGUAUUUAUCCUAAAAAACUAAAGUCAUAAUACUACAGCGAUACAUGCAUACCCAUGUUUACAGGAGUACAUUUCACAACAGUCAAACUUUAGAACCAGCCUGGAUAUCCAUCAGCAGAUGAAUGGAUAAAGAAAAUGUGGAGUUAUAGUCCACAAUUGUGUGUGUGUAUAUAUAUAUAUAUAUAUAUAUAUACACACACACAUACACACAAUGGAGUUAUAGUCAGUCACAAAGAAAAAUGAAAUUAUGUCAUUUUCAGGAAAAUAGAUGGAACUUGAGAACAUUACUUUAAACAAAACAAGGCAAACUCAGAAGGUCAAGGGUUUUCUUUCAUACGUGGAAGCUAGAGAGGUAAAGGAAAAGAAAGGUGGGGAGAUCUCAUGAAAAUUGAAGGGAGAUCAGGAAAGGAAAGGGACCAGUGGGGAUAGAUAAGAGGAGAGAAAGGGGAGUACUAGGGAAUGAUAUUGGCCAAAUUAUAUUGUUAUAUUGUGUGCAUGUACAAAUAUGUAAACAAAUUCUAUCAUUAGACACAUAUAUAAUGUACCAAUAAAAAUAUGCAGAUUAAAAAUAUAAUUCUGAAAAAAAGUAUCAUCUUUCCAAAUGAAUAUUCAUUUCUUCUUUCCUCUUCUUUUUUCCUCUCUAACUCAAGACCCUCAGCUCUUUCUUGUCUCCUGGUUUUGAAACAAGUUCCAGGAAGUUUCCUAAUAAAGCCUACUCCAAGGUUCUGUAGCCAGCCUUUAAUAAAACUCCAAGGAAUUGUGGCAUUUCAAUGAACCCCACACCUUUAUUUUCCAUAUAAGGGGUGCAGUGGGAAGAUCAAGGCUGUAGUCUUUCUCUCUCUCUUACACACACACACACACACACACACACACACACACACACUUGCUCCAUGGAUAUUUCCUUUCAGUCCCUCUGCCCUACAGCAUCUCUUUUCAACUCUGUCACAGAUAGAAUUAUAUCAGCACAGUGAGCAAAGACCUUGAGGCACAAGAGCUGAUGGGAUAAUUUAUGGAAAUGCAAUUUAUCCUUGGCAGAGGGAAAAAAAAAAAAAAAAACCAGAAAAGGCCUGGCUGCUGUGGUUUGCUCUGGAAAGGGGAAAGGGCUGUGGAUUCUACAGGAUUUUGGAAUACUCUACUUAGGUUCUUAUGUUUUGAGUUUUGCUGGAGAAGUGACACGGGGUCUUAUGAAGCUCUGAGAGGAAAUGUCUCCUUUCAAAGCUUCCACUGGUUCUUGGUAUAACUACAGGGUCAGGGAGAUGAAGAGACAUGUUACUGGAUUUUUGGUUUUAAAAGACAAGGCUUUGGGCCAGGUGAGGUGGCACAUAUCUGUAAUCCCAGCAACUUGCGGGGGAGAGGCAGGAGCUUGGGGAGUUCAAAGCCCCUCAGCAAAAGAGAGGCCCUAAGCACCUCAGUGAGACCCUGUCUGUAAGUAAAAUACAAAAUAGGGCUGGGAAUAUGGCUCAGUGGUUGAGUGCCCCUGAGGUCAAUCCCUGGUUACCCCACCUCCCCAAGAAAAAAGCAAGGCUUUGGUACACUUUGGAAGAGAAAGAUCAUAAUAAAGGGUCCCACCUCCUCUGCUCCAACAGAAUUUAGUCUCC
rnacentral:lncRNA from 1 species